UACGUCUAACCUAGAGGAACUUCAGCUA
rnacentral:piRNA from 1 species